GACGAACGCUGGCGGCGUGCUUAACACAUGCAAGUCGAACGAAGUGGCGAACGGGUGAGUAACGCGUAAUCAACCUGCCCUUCAGAGGGGGACAACAGUUGGAAACGACUGCUAAUACCGCAUACUGAAGGAGGGGAUUGCGUCGGAUUAGCUAGUUGGAGGGGUAACGGCCCACCAAGGCGAGGAUCAGGAGCCGGUCUGGAAGGAUGAACGGCCACAUUGGGACUGAGACACGGCCCAGACUCCUACGGGAGGCAGCAGUGGGGAAUCUUCCGCAAUGGACGAAAGUCUGACGGAGCAACGCCGCGUGAGUGAUGACGGCCUUCGGGUUGUAAAGCUCUGUUGAUAAGGACGCGGUACCUAACCAGAAAGGGACGGCUAACUACGUGCCAGCAGCCGCGGUAAUUC
rnacentral:rRNA from 1 species